CAGAUGUCUGGGGCGCAGAUCAAAAUUGCGAACCCAGUGGAAGGAUCUACUGAUAGGCAGGUUACCAUCACUGGAUCUGCUGCCAGCAUUAGCCUGGCUCAAUAUCUAAUCAAUGUCAGGCUUUCCUCGGAGACGGGUGGCAUGGGGAGCAGCUAGAACAAUGCAGAUUCAUCCAUAAUCCCUUUCUGCUGUUCACCACCACCCAUGAUCCAUCUGUGUAGUUUCUGAACAGUCAGCGAUUCCAGGUUUUAAAUAGUUUGUAAAUUUUCAGUUUCUACACACUUUAUCAUCCACUCGUGAUUUUUUAAUUAAAGCGUUUUAAUUCCUUUCUCUGUUCAGCUGUUGAUGCUGAGAUCCAUAUUUAGUUUUAUAAGCUUCUCCCUGGUUUUUUUUUUUUGGCUCAUGAAUUUUUCUGUUUGUCAUGGAAAUGUAAGAGUGGAAUAUUAAUACAUUUCAGUUUAGUUCUGUAAUGUCAGGAAUUUUUCAAAAAAAUUAAAAGAUGGACUGGAGCUUUUUCUUUGUGAAUAGAAACUGGAUGCCACAGUGAUUCAUGUGGGUUUUAUUCCUCUUGUCUUGCUGUUAUUUUUGUACCUUUUAUCCCUCAAAGGACCCUUCUUGGGUUUUGAAUGGAAGCCUUUAUUCCGGUUAAGAUGUUUUCUUCUAUUUUACCACUUCCAUCUUUUUUUGUGGCCCUCGAUCCUAUUUUUCCCUGACUCCAUGCUUGGUUGGCCCUUAUAAAACUUGUGCCCAAAAGAUUGAGGAUUAGACUUUCCGAGGACUUACCUGUCCUAGGGGAGUAGGCAAGCACUUCCACUAGGGAGGGGGUGGGGGAAAGGAAUGACACAUGACAUACAUGGCAUACACAUUAAGCAGUUGAUCAUAUGUCUGACUGGGUUCCAGUUUCUUGGGAAUGUUGGUCCCCUUGUUCAGGCUUGCAUAUUUUAAACUAAAAAUUUCAGUCUAUUGUUUUUAGUAACUUCAUUUAUAGUCCUCCAUAACAAGUUAGAAGGAUGUAUCUGCUACCAUUUAUUCCUAUAAUUUUAGAAAGUUGGGGCUUGACAUUAUACUCAUUUAGUGAGAGUAGAUGCAAAAAAGUGGAGGGGCAGGAGAACUUCUCCAGACACCUCAGAUAAAGUCCGGAGCCCAAGGCUUUAUCUUAACCAUGUAUGGUACCCCAUUCAUUCAUCAAGAAAACCCUCAACAGCUGGGCCUGCAUGGAGUGUUAUAUUUCAAGGUUUUUCACAGGGGUUACAGUAGGACAGUCCCCACCCCAAUCAGGCACCAGGAUAAAAGCAGGGACUUAAACAGCACCCCGGUUCUUCAGCCUGAGCCAUCACAUGCUAUCAGUCUCCUAACCUCCCCCUGGGCCUUAAGACAGGGCUUGGGCAGAGAAGAUAAAUGGUGGGACAAAAAAAUGAGUUACAUUGCCACCUGAGAAACCUCAGAGGGGAGGACCCAGCCUUAGCCUCCCUCCUCCCAAGUGCAAAAUGUGUAAACAGAGUAAACGGAACAGAAAAGUG
rnacentral:lncRNA from 1 species